rnacentral:tRNA from 1 species
GCUGUGAUAGCUGAGUGGUUAAGAUGUUGGACUAAAAAUCCAAUAGGGUUUCCCUGUGCAGGUUCAAACCCUGCUCACAGCA